UGCUCCCAUGCUCCCGUGACCUAAAGGAGACUCAGUGUACUUUUCAUGAGUGAUCUUCCCCUUAUGUUUCUUUUUCUUAAUGAGUUGCUUUAAUUUUAUAUACCAACCCCUCUGCCCUUCUUGACCAUAACCCUCUGCUGUGAUUCACACAUAAAGAAUGCUCUUCUUCAGUGCUUAAAACUACUCUUCUCAUUGGUGGUGGUACCAUACAGCUUGUAUCACACAGAUUGUUGGGCAACUGGAUUGACACGCGCCCCUUCCCUCCCUUUUUCUGCUGCAGGGAUAUCAUAUAGGAAGUUAGGUCCUAGGACCCAAAUCACCUACAAAUCAGUGUUUUAAAGACUAGAUUUUGAAGCUGAGCUUGGUGACAAAUGCCUAUAAUGUGAGCAUUCAGGAGUCUGAGGCAAUAGGGUCACUGUGAGUUUGGGGCCAGCCUGGGAUGCAUACAGUUAGGCAUACAGUUAGUACCCUGUCUCACAGAAAUACUUUUAAAGUUGGUUCUCUAAGAAUGCGAUGAGCAUGCUUUUAACUUAUGGUAUGCUGGCACGUGGCCAGGGGUAAAUGGAUGAAGGACAGAUUCGAAUUGAAAGGCCAAGCCUGUGGAUGAGACCUCAUCAUCGUGCUGUGAAAUCGGACUCUGACUAACAAAGC
rnacentral:lncRNA from 1 species